GACGAACGCUGGCGGUGUGCUUAACACAUGCAAGUGGUGCGACGAACCAGAGCUUGCUCUGGGGCAAAGCCGCGAACGGGUGAGUAACACGUGGGUAAUCUACCCCGAUGACCGGGACAACCCGAGGAAACUCGGGCUAAUACCGGAUGUGGUGCGGAGACAUAAGUCUCUUCACUAAAGGUAGCUUCGGCUUCCGCAUUGGGAGGGGCCCGCGGCGCACUAGCUUGUUGGUGGGGUCAAGGCCUACCAAGGCAACGAUGGGUAGCUGGUCUGAGAGGACGAUCAGCCACACUGGGACUGAGACACGGCCCAGACUCCUACGGGAGGCAGCAGUGGGGAAUCUUGCGCAAUGCGCGAAAGCGUGACGCAGCAACACCGCGUGAGGGAAGAAGGCCUUAGGGUUGUAAACCUCUUUCAGAUGGGACGAAGGUUCUCCGGUGAAUAGCCGAGAGGAUUGACGGUACCGUCAGAAGAAGCUCCGGCUAACUACGUG
rnacentral:rRNA from 1 species